CCAGACUCCUACGGGAGGCAGCAGUGGGGAAUAUUGCACAAUGGGGGAAACCCUGAUGCAGCGACGCCGCGUGAGUGAAGAAGUAUUUCGGUAUGUAAAGUUCUAUCAGCAGGGAAGAAAAUGACGGUACCUGACUAAGAAGCCCCGGCUAACUACGUGCCAGCAGCCGCGGUAAUACGUAGGGGGCAAGCGUUAUCCGGAUUUACUGGGUGUAAAGGGGGCGCAGACGGCAGCGCAAGCCAGGAGUGAAAGCCCGGGGCCCAACCCCGGGACUGCUCUUGGAACUGCGCGGCUGGAGUGCAGGAGGGGCAGGCGGAAUUCCUGGUGUAGCGGUGAAAUGCGUAGAUAUCAGGAGGAACACCGGCGGCGAAGGCAGCCUACCGGCGCGCAACUGACGCUCAUGCACGAAAGCGUGGGUAUCGAACAGGAUUAGAUACCCGUGUA
rnacentral:rRNA from 1 species